UAGCGAACAAGUACCGUGAGGGAAAGAUGAAAAGCACUUUGAAAAGAAAGUUAAGAGUACGUGAAACCGUUAGUAGGGAAGCGCAUGAAAUUAGCAAUGCUGUUGAGAAAUUCAGGUGUCGGGCUGGUGGUCAUGUUGGGUUACAGAUCCGAAGGACUGUGCCUUGUAUGUUCUGCUUGUCUAGCAUCGCACUUUUCUUUUCAGUGCGUCAACGAGUGUUCGAAGUGGGUGAUACGUCCCUGAGGAAGGUAGCAGGCCUCGGCUUGUGUUAUAGUCUCGGGUGAGCGGCUCACGUCGGACAGAGGAGUUGCAGUACGUGCUGUUUGGCUGGCCUCUUUUGCGAGUGUUAGUGGUAACCAUUGUAGACUGCGUGCAGUGUACAUGAACCUCUGUUGGCCCUCGUAGGAGUCAGGCACAAACGUGCUAAGGUCGUUGGCGGUCAUAUGGUUUCAUACGACCCGUCUUGAAACACGGACCAAGGAGUCUGACAUGUGUGCGAGUCUUCGGGUGAUUGAAACCCUCGGGCUGAAUGAAAGUGAAUGGUUUAAGUGAGAUCUGUGCCUCGUUGUGCAGCGCAUCAUUGACCGACCUAUUCUACUCUUAGAAAGGUUUGAGUAAGAGCAUAUAUGUCGGGACCCGAAAGAUGGUGAACUAUGCUUGAGUAGGGUGAAGCCA
rnacentral:rRNA from 1 species